rnacentral:rRNA from 1 species
AUUGAACGCUGGCGGCAGGCUUAACACAUGCAAGUCGAGCGAGCGGCGGACGGGGGAGUAAUGUCUGGGAAACUGCCUGAUGGAGGGGGAUAACGACGGGAAACGGUAGCUAAUACCGCAUAAUAUCAGAUGUGCCCAGAUGGGAUUAGCUAGUAGGUGGGGGAAUGGCUCAACUAGGCGACGAUCCCUAGCUGGUCUGAGAGGAUGACCGGCCACACUGGAACUGAGACACGGUCCAGACUCCUGCGGGAGGCAGCAGUGGGGAAUAUUGCACAAUGGGCGCAAGCCUGAUGCAGCCAUGCCGCGUGUGUGAAGAAGGCCUUCGGGUUGUAAAGCACUUUCUGCGAGGAGGCUUUACUCGCAGAAGAAGCACCGGCUAACUCCGUGCCAGCAGCCGCGGUAAAC